rnacentral:rRNA from 1 species
UACGUAGGGGGCUAGCGUUGUCCGGAAUCAUUGGGCGUAAAGAGCUCGUAGGCGGACUGUCACGUCUGCUGUGAAAAGCUAGGGCUUAACCCUGGCCUUGCAGUGGAUACGGGCAGACUAGAGGUAGGUAGGGGAGAAUGGAAUUCCCGGUGUAGCGGUGAAAUGCGCAGAUAUCAGGAGGAACACCGAUGGCGAAGGCAGGUCUCUGGGCCGAUACUGACGCUGAGGAGCGAAAGCGUGGGGAGCGAACAGG